GCUCAAACUCUCGUGCGGCUAGUAUAUUUUUUGCUGCCGCUUAUCCCUCUAAGAAGAAGACUGCGAAGCGGACGCCAGUUUCCGGCGCCGCGGGGCGCGCCGCCGGCGGCGCUAACCGACCGACGGUGGAGGCCCGCACGACGACCGGGUUUCGGGGAACCCGCGCCCCGCAUCGCCGCGAACGACAACGGGGGCAACGGGGUUGAGAUCCGUCGACUAUUUAGCAGGCUAGAGUCUCGUUCGUCUAUUCUGUCUAGCACUAAACCCAGAACAGAUCAAUCACCAUUUACAAAUGAUUCUCCCUAGCCAAGAGAACUAAAGCCUACUGUCUUGGGACGCCUUAUGCACCCCCUGACUUACCUGGAAGGUCGCGAGAAAGGAGCUGAUAACCUAUCCUGCGUCAAUCCUCUUUGGGAACAACUACCAGCUUUGAGUUAACCAUCUCGCCGGGAACCAUUGCAGUUCCUGAGCCCUGGUUGAGAUUUUCCCCCGUGUAGAGAUCAAGAGUUUCUUCCAUAAGAGAUGGGUGCUUGUCUCUGACUUGAAGGAGAAUUCACCUGCGUUGAUGUUACACGUACUUCCGCUACUACUCUCUUCGGAUGAAGAGUUAGUCUAACAACGAGCCGGGCUGGCUAUGGAUUGGGAAGGGAAAGGAGAGGACCAAAGUCUUUGAGUACAGUAUGGUUGCAAAGCUGAAACUUAAAGGAAUUGACGGAAGGGCACCACCAGGAGUGGAGCCUGCGGCUCAAUUUGACUCAACACGGGGAAACUCACCAGGCCAGGACACCGGAAGGAUUGACAGAAUGAAGGCUCUUUCUCGAUUCGGUGGGUGGUGGUGCAUGGCCGUUCUUAGUUGGUGGAGUGAUCUGUCUGGUUAAUUCCGAUAACGAACGAGACUCUAGCCUGCUAAAUAGUCGACGGAUCUCAACCCCGUUGCCCCCGUUGUCGUUCGCGGCGAUGCGGGGCGCGGGUUCCCCGAAACCCGGUCGUCGUGCGGGCCUCCACCGUCGGUCGGUUAGCGCCGCCGGCGGCGCGCCCCGCGGCGCCGGAAACUGGCGUCCGCUUCGCAGUCUUCUUCUUAGAGGGAUAAGCGGCAGCAAAAAAUAUACUAGCCGCACGAGAGUUUGAGCCAUAACAGGUCUGUGAUGCCCUUAGAUGUUCUGGGCCGCACGCGCGCUACAAUGGAGAGUUCAGCGAGCUGUCCCUGCUCCGAGAGGAGCGGGUAACCUCGUGAAAGCUGUCCUUAAAGGGGAUUGGGGCUUGCAAAUGUUCCCCAUGAACGAGGAAUUCCCAGUAGGCGCAAUUCACCAGAUUGCGCCGAUUUAGUCCCUGCCCUUUGUACACACCGCCCGUCGCUACUACCGAUUGAAUGGUCUAGUGAGGGCACCGGACUGGCGCCCUUGGAGCCGCUACCGCCUCGGCGGGCAGCGCCCUCGGGUCGACGGAAAGGUGUCCAAGCUGGGUCAUUUAGAGGAAGUAAAAGUCGUAACAAGGUUUCCGUAGGUGAACCUGCGGAAGG
rnacentral:rRNA from 1 species